UACGGAGGGUGCAAGCGUUAUCCGGAUUUACUGGGUUUAAAGGGUGCGUAGGUGGGUUGGGAAGUCAGUGGUGAAAUACUUUCGCUUAACGAAGGAACUGCCAUUGAUACUAUCAAUCUUGAAUGUAGUGGAGGUAGGCGGAAUGCGUCAUGUAGCGGUGAAAUGCUUAGAUAUGACGCAGAACGCCAAUUGCGAAGGCAGCUUGCUACACUACUAUUGACACUGAGGCACGAAAGCGUGGGGAUCAAACAGG
rnacentral:rRNA from 1 species